rnacentral:rRNA from 1 species
UACGUAGGGUGCAAGCGUUAAUCGGAAUUACUGGGCGUAAAGCGUGCGCAGGCGGUUAUAUAAGACAGAUGUGAAAUCCCCGGGCUCAACCUGGGAACUGCAUUUGUGACUGUAUAGCUAGAGUACGGUAGAGGGGGAUGGAAUUCCGCGUGUAGCAGUGAAAUGCAUAGAUAUGCGGAGGAACACCGAUGGCGAAGGCAAUCCCCUGGACCUGUACUGACGCUCAUGCACGAAAGCGUGGGGAGCAAACAGG